GAUGAACGCUGGCGGCGUGCCUAAUACAUGCAAGUCGAGCGAACGGACGAGAAGCUUGCUUCUCUGAUGUUAGCGGCGGACGGGUGAGUAACACGUGGAUAACCUACCUAUAAGACUGGGAUAACUUCGGGAAACCGGAGCUAAUACCGGAUGAUAUUUUGAACCGCAUGGUUCAAAAGUGAAAGACGGUCUUGCUGUCACUUAUAGCUGGAUCCGCGCUGCAUUAGCUAGUUGGUAAGGUAACGGCUUACCAAGGCAACGAUGCAUAGCCGACCUGAGAGGGUGAUCGGCCACACUGGAACUGAGACACGGUCCAGACUCCUACGGGAGGCAGCAGUAGGGAAUCUUCCGCAAUGGGCGAAAGCCUGACGGAGCAACGCCGCGUGAGUGAUGAAGGUCUUCGGAUCGUAAAACUCUGUUAUUAGGGAAGAACAUAAGUGUAAGUAACUGUGCACAUCUUGACGGUACCUAAUCAGAAAGCCACGGCUAACUACGUG
rnacentral:rRNA from 1 species